rnacentral:lncRNA from 1 species
GAGGCCAAGGCAAAGAUGCCCAGCUCUUCAUCCAAGCUCACCAAUUAAUUAAAUCCCUUCUCCAAUAAGGAACGAUGAGUAAGAGGACACCCACCAGAGCAUGGCUUGAUAAGUGGUGUAGAGAUCUGCACCUGGGAUCUGAACUGGCAAACCACAAGCCACUGAAGUGGAGUGCGUGAACUUAACUGCUACGCCACCAUGCCAGUCCCUGUCUUCAGAUAUUUCUCUGUUGGUGUAACUGAUUUCUAUAUGUUGAUUUUGCAUCCCGCAACUUUAUUGAACGUCUCUUCAUUCUAACAGUUUUUUGAUGGAGUCUUUAGGAUUUUCUAUACAUCAGGUCAUAUCAUCUGCAAACAGAGACUAUUUUACUUUUUUCCUUCUGAUUUGGAUGUCUUUUAUUUAUUUUUCUUGCCUGUUUGCCCUGGCUAGGGCUUCCACUACUAUGUUCCUGAUGUUAGAGGAAAAUUUUUCAAUCUUUCAACAUUGAGUAUAAU